ACGGGUGCGUAACGCGUAUGCAACCUACCUAUCACUGGGGGAUAGCCCGGGGAAACCCGGAUUAAUACCGCAUAAAACAGGGGCACCGCAUGGUGAUAUUUGUUAAAGAUUUAUUGGUGAUAGAUGGGCAUGCGUUCGAUUAGCUAGUUGGCGGGGUAACGGCCCACCAAGGCGACGAUCGAUAGGGGAGCUGAGAGGUUGAUCCCCCACACGGGCACUGAGAUACGGGCCCGACUCCUACGGGAGGCAGCAGUAGGGAAUAUUGGGCAAUGGAUGCAAGUCUGACCCAGCCAUGCCGCGUGCCGGAUGAAGGCCCUCAGGGUUGUAAACGGCUUUUAUUCGGGAAGAAGAGCAGGGAUGCGUCCUUGUGUGACGGUACCGAAUGAAUAAGCACCGGCUAACUCCGUGCCAGCAGCCGCGGUAAUACGGAGGGUGCGAGCGUUGUCCGGAUUUAUUGGGUUUAAAGGGUGCGUAGGUGGCUGUUUAAGUCAGUGGUGAAAUACGGUUGCUCAACAAUCGAGGUGCCAUUGAUACUGAAUAGCUUGAAAUAAUUGGAGGCUGCCGGAAUGGAUGGUGUAGCGGUGAAAUGCAUAGA
rnacentral:rRNA from 8 species